GUGGACUCGUACAGUGCAGUUCUUGAGCGCUGUCCUAUGCAACCUGACGACUGCUCGCCGUACGGUGAGUGCAAUGACUUUGUCGGCU
rnacentral:sRNA from 1 species